UACGUAGGGGGCAAGCGUUGUCCGGAAUCAUUGGGCGUAAAGAGCGUGUAGGCGGCUCGGUAAGUCCGUUGUGAAAGUCCAGGGCUCAACCCUGGAAUGCCGGUGGAAACUGUCGGGCUAGAGUCCGGAAGAGGCGAGUGGAAUUCCUAGUGUAGCGGUGGAAUGCGCAGAUAUCAGGAGGAACACCAAUAGCGAAGGCAGCUCGCUGGGACGGUACUGACGCUAAGGCGCGAAAGCGUGGGGAGCGAACAGG
rnacentral:rRNA from 1 species